GUGAGGAAACUAAAGCCCUGGGACGUUUAAUGUCAUAUAGGGCGGCUGCAGAGCUAGGAUGUGCAGUGUGGCCUCUGGGCUCUAACAUCAGUGAGCUUCACUGCUGCACUGUACUGCAUGGAACAGAUUCUGGAAGGGAUUGCAACAAUUUCCAAAGGAGAAGGGAAAGGAGUCCUCCUGCUGGAGCAGGUUGGAAGCCACUGAGCCAGGCUGUCAUCCCGGCUCAGCAGAGACCGAGUCAUGAGACCUGAGGGCAGCUUCUCAAGACCUUCUCACUGACAGAGUGCUUAACCCAUGAACCUCACCAUGGAGCGCACAGAGCCCUGGACCCUCCUUUCUCAGAGCAUGGUGUGAGACUAGCUGCAUCAACUUCACCUGGGAGCCACUUAGAAAUGCAGAAUCUCGGGCCCACUGUAGGCCACUGAAUCAGAAUCUGGAUUUUUCCAAGAUACCAAGUUGAUUACAUUAAUGUCUCAGAAAACUUGGUCUGGAUGAUGCAUGCCUUGGGGAGAUUGGAGGAAAGAAAUUGAAGCUCCCUAAGGGGGCCUCCUCUGAGAGGGAGACUCAUCCACAAGCCUGGUUCGAUGGAAGGAAGUGAACACAGAGGAAAAGACUGAGGAAGGCACUCCAGGAAAAC